GAAAUGCGAUAAGUAAUGUGAAUUGCAGAGUUUAGUGAAUCAUCGAAUCUUUGAACGCACAUUGCGCCCCUCGGUAUUCCGACGGGCAUGCCUGUUCGAGCGUCGUUUGCAAACCCUCAAGCGCAACCACUGUCGCCUUGGUCUUGGGCAUCCGCCCCCCGCGCGCGGGGGGCGGGCCCCGAAGUCAGCGGCGGCCCGCGACGACCGCCGGAGCGUCCUCGAAUGACACCGCUCCUGCGCGCGCGCCCCGGGCCCGCCGGCGAACGCAAACCUCAAGAGUUCGACCUCGGAUCAGGUAGGGAUACCCGCUGAACUUAAGC
rnacentral:misc_RNA from 1 species